AAUCCCCUCAUUCUCACCUGACCCGCCGCCCUUGAAACCUCCCGUCUCUCAAACUCUCUCAAACUUUCCGAAACCCUAGUUCUCUUCUACCAUUUUUCAACACCAUCUCACCGGAAUCCAUGGCUUCUCAGGCCAUGAAUGGCCUGUUCUCACUACCCUCCACUCUUAAACGUUUGAUGUUCGAAGUUUUGAGGUCUGACCUCGAAUGAGGUCCGUUCAGAUCUUCGCCGAUUCAGGGGUCCAUGGCCUCUCCGGCCUUUCUUCGACAUAUCCAAAGCAUUUCGAGCCUGGUUCUGACUCAUCCGACUCAUGGAUCGCAUGGAAGGGAAAAUUCUUAUGAAUGUAAUAAAUAAUGUGAAUUCUGAAAGUCAUCUUGAGUGGUAUGAUGUAGAGAACAAGUGCUUCAUGAGAAUAGACAAUCUACGAUCCCGCCGAUGGAUCUGGUGUGGACUUUGCACUGAUGGCUUGUUUUCCUUGGGAAGUUGAUAGGAUGGAACAAUCAAGGAUGUGAAGUAAGGUAUCAUAUCUAGAGGUGAUCUUGAUUUCCAGAAAAGGUCUGAGACAAAUAAAGGCCUGAUUUCAUAGCGAAUGCAAGCUGAUACUGUCUGAUUAGUUGCUUCGCGUAAGGCUGGAACUUUAGUGUUCAUGGUCCUGCACAUAAACAAUCAAGGAUGUGAGGUAAGGUAUCAUAUAUUGCUAAGUGAUGGUUAUGAAACAUAUCGAUCUACUUCUCAUCCGUAGAUUGUGUAGUGAAAAUGGUAAAUUGUUGAAGAGCUCUAUUUUUUUGCUGCCUCUUUCUGAGAGGAUGAUUUUUCAUUAACUGGUUUUCUUUAAGGCAUGAUAUUAGAUUAGUAUUUAUGAAGAUUAGAAUUAGGUACAAUGUAACCAGGAGUUCCAAAAAUAGUAGAUAAGAUGAAAUAACAACUGGAGCAAUGACUUUUAUCACAAGCUUUUUAGGCUUUGAUUGUUGUCCAGAACUAGUGACAGCACAAAGCAUGAA